rnacentral:rRNA from 1 species
UGAGGAAUAUUGCGCAAUGGGGGAAACCCUGACGCAGCAACGCCGCGUGGGUGAAGAAGGCCUUCGGGUCGUAAAGCCCUUUCGGACGGGACGAACGCCUUGCGGGGAAACUCGUGAGGCUUGACGGUACCGUAAGAAGAAGCACCGGCUAACCCCGUGCCAGCAGCCGCGGUAAUACGGGGGGUGCAAGCGUUGUUCGGAAUUACUGGGCGUAAAGCGAGUGUAGGCGGCCCUGCAAGUCAGAUGUGAAAGCCCUCGGCUUAACCGGGGAAGUGCAUCUGAAACUGCUUGGCUUGAGUACCGGAGAGGAAGGCGGAAUUCCCAGUGUAGAGGUGAAAUUCGUAGAUAUUGGGAGGAACACCGGUGGCGAAAGCGGCCUUCUGGACGGAUACUGACGCUGAGACUCGAAAGCGUGGGGAGCAAACAGG